CAUUCGAUGAAGACCGUAGCAAAAUGCGAUAAGUGGUGUGAUAUGCAAGUCCAAAACUUAUACGUGAACCAUCGAAUUGUUGAACGCACUGCAUCGAGCUUAUCCAGAACGAUACGCCCCAUUGAGCGUCAUUAUGUCUUUGCGACUUGUCACUCUAUGUGGCCUGUCCAGGUUCGGGAUUCACGACCCUACGUGUCGCGCUUCCUCAGAUGUAUGGUUGCACCGACACACACGGCGACCUUGUCAUAAAUGUCGAGGUCCGCCUGCAAGCGUCAAGUGCAAGAUCCUCUGCUGUGUUCACUGGAUCAAACGUGUCCGCUCCGGCGGACGCGGCUUCUUGACAUGACCUCACGGGGGUGGGACGACCCGCUAGACUUAAGCAUAUUAAUCAGCGGAGGAAAAGAAACUAACAAGGAUUCCCCCAGUAACUGCGAGUGAAGAGGGAUUAGCUCAAUGUGUGAAUCGGGUCGGGAUUAGCCCCUGUCUCGAGUUGUGCACUAUAGAUGCCGGAUCAGCGCUUGAAGGAUCGAGGUGGAUGUCCGAUGAAACUCGGUGCCAUAGAGGGUCAUAGUCCUGUACUUGCCUUGUCAUCCUUUGCGCAUUUGACCGGUACUCUGCGAGUCGCGUAGUUUUGUAUUGCUGCGCUAAUUGGGAGGUAGAGCCCUUCUAAAGCUAAAUAUGAUGACGUGACCGAUAGCACACAAGUACCGCGAGGGAAAGGUGAAAAGCAACCAUGCAGAAUGGGUUGAAACAGCAGUGAAAGCGUUACUGGGAUAAGGGCUGGGGAUUGCUUGUGUCGCUCGCGCGUGCUUCAGUGCUGUGCUUGUGAACGGCACGCUUACAUUGGAUGGAGAGAGCAGGGCCUUGGGAA
rnacentral:rRNA from 1 species